GGCCCUUGCGGCGUGCUAUAAUGCAGUCGAGCGAACGGAUAAGGAGCUUGCUCCUUUGAAGUUAGCGGCGGACGGGUGAGUAACACGUGGGUAACCUACCUAUAAGACUGGAAUAACUUCGGGAAACCGGAGCUAAUGCCGGAUAACAUUUGGAACCGCAUGGUUCUAAAGUAAAAGAUGGUUUUGCUAUCACUUAUAGAUGGACCCGCGCCGUAUUAGCUAGUUGGUAAGGUAACGGCUUACCAAGGCAACGAUACGUAGCCGACCUGAGAGGGUGAUCGGCCACACUGGAACUGAGACACGGUCCAGACUCCUACGGGAGGCAGCAGUAGGGAAUCUUCCGCAAUGGACGAAAGUCUGACGGAGCAACGCCGCGUGAGUGAUGAAGGUUUUCGGAUCGUAAAACUCUGUUAUUAGGGAAGAACAAAUGUGUAAGUAACUGUGCACAUCUUGACGGUACCUAAUCAGAAAGCCACGGCUAACUACGUGCCAGCAGCCGCGGUAAUACGUAGGUGGCAAGCGUUAUCCGGAAUUAUUGGGCGUAAAGCGCGCGUAGGCGGUUUCUUAAGUCUGAUGUGAAAGCCCACGGCUCAACCGUGGAGGGUCAUUGGAAACUGGGAAACUUGAGUACAGAAGAGGAAAGUGGAAUUCCAUGUGUAGCGGUGAAAUGCGCAGAGAUAUGGAGGAACACCAGUGGCGAAGGCGACUUUCUGGUCUGUAACUGACGCUGAUGUGCGAAAGCGUGGGGAUCAAACAGGAUUAGAUACCCUGGUAGUCCACGCCGUAAACGAUGAGUGCUAAGUGUUAGGGGGUUUCCGCCCCUUAGUGCUGCAGCUAACGCAUUAAGCACUCCGCCUGGGGAGUACGACCGCAAGGUUGAAACUCAAAGGAAUUGACGGGACCCGCACAAGCGGUGGAGCAUGUGGUUUAAUUCGAAGCAACGCGAAGAACCU
rnacentral:rRNA from 1 species